rnacentral:lncRNA from 1 species
AACAGUAAGUCUCAAUCUAAUUGACUUUAACUAAAAGGAUUACUCAGCUCACCUAAGAAGACUGUGUACUUCCAGUUUUGGUUAAUUCAGCAGUUCAUCAUGACCCAGCUUCUCUAUGUUUCCACUCUGUCAUCCUUAACACAGAGGGUGACUCCUUCAAGGUGACAAGGUGGUUGCAGCAGCUCCAGACAUCACAUCCUUACCAUCCAGAGGCAGAAAAGAGUCAUUCUUUUUAGUUACCUGGUGCUUUCUGCCUUGGAUCAGGCAUCAUCACCUCCUGACCAGACCAUUUGAAUGUCAAGUAGCUGGUCUCCUUGCCUCUAAAUGUGCUCUGAUUUCAACCAGACCCC